AGUGAACGCUGGCGGUAGGCCUAACACAUGCAAGUCGAACGGCAGCACAGGAGAGCUUGCUCUCUGGGUGGCGAGUGGCGGACGGGUGAGGAAUACAUCGGAAUCUACUCUGUCGUGGGGGAUAACGUAGGGAAACUUACGCUAAUACCGCAUACGACCUACGGGUGAAAGCAGGGGAUCUUCGGACCUUGCGCGAUUGAAUGAGCCGAUGUCGGAUUAGCUAGUUGGCGGGGUAAAGGCCCACCAAGGCGACGAUCCGUAGCUGGUCUGGAGGGAUGAUCAGCCAAACUGGGACCGAGGACCGGUCCAGACUCCUACGGGAGGCAGCAGGGGGGAAGAGUGGACAAUGGGCGCAAGCCUGAUCCAGCCAUACCGCGUGGGUGAAGAAGGCCUUCGGGUUGUAAAGCCCUUUUGUUGGGAAAGAAAUCCAGCUGGCUAAUACCCGGUUGGGAUGACGGUACCCAAAGAAUAAGCACCGGCUAACUUCGUGCCAGCCGCCGCCGUAA
rnacentral:rRNA from 1 species